rnacentral:lncRNA from 1 species
UUAGGCAUGAUUGGGACUGUAAUGAUGAUUGAAAUCUGUUGUGGUAGUGUUUGGAAGAAAAUCAAGUCAUUUAAAGCCACUUUUAAGCCAUUUUAAGGGAAGUGAGGUAGUGAUUUUGAGUAUAUGGGGUUUGCUGUGCUUGUGGACUGCUGGGACAGUUUCACUAAGUGUAUUGUGACUUGUUUGAGUCACCAAAUUUACCAAAAUAGAUGCAGAAUGGUAAGAUUGGGUUUUGGGUCCCUAAGUUGGGAAAUUGAGUGUUUAGAGUUGAAACGAAGCUUAAAUCACCUUAGAAACGUGUUAGUAAUGUUUAGAAUCACUUAGGUAAGUUUAGUUAUGUCUAAAACGAAGAUUAGAGGUGUUAGAAGUUGGUUAAAAUGGUUAAAAAUGGUCUUAGCAUGUUCUGUUGAAUUCUGCAGAAUUCUGCAGAAUUCUGCAGAGUCUUGGUCGUCCGGUUUUGUAGGCCU